rnacentral:tRNA from 1 species
GCGAGUGUGGCGAAAUUGGCAGUCGCGCCAGAUUUAGGCUCUGGUGGUUUCAACCGUGUCGGUUCGAGUCCGACCACUCGCACCA